AGAGUUUGAUCAUGGCUCAGGACGAACGCUGGCGGCGUGCCUAAUACAUGCAAGUCGAGCGGAUCUCUAGGAGCUUGCUCCUGUUGAUUAGCGGCGGACGGGUGAGUAACACGUGGGCAACCUGCCUGUAAGUCUGGGAUAACACCGGGAAACCGGUGCUAAUACCGGAUAAUCCUUUUCCUCUCAUGAGGAAAAGCUGAAAGUCGGUUUCGGCUGACACUUACAGAUGGGCCCGCGGCGCAUUAGCUAGUUGGUGAGGUAACGGCUCACCAAGGCGACGAUGCGUAGCCGACCUGAGAGGGUGAUCGGCCACACUGGGACUGAGACACGGCCCAGACUCCUACGGGAGGCAGCAGUAGGGAAUCUUCCACAAUGGACGAAAGUCUGAUGGAGCAACGCCGCGUGAGCGAUGAAGGCCUUCGGGUCGUAAAGCUCUGUUGUUAGGGAAGAACAAGUACCGGAGUAACUGCCGGUACCUUGACGGUACCUAACCAGAAAGCCACGGCUAACUACGUGCCAGCAGCCGCGGUAAUACGUAGGUGGCAAGCGUUGUCCGGAAUUAUUGGGCGUAAAGCGCGCGCAGGCGGUCCUUUAAGUCUGAUGUGAAAGCCCACGGCUCAACCGUGGAGGGUCAUUGGAAACUGGGGGACUUGAGUGCAGAAGAGGAAAGCGGAAUUCCACGUGUAGCGGUGAAGUGCGUAGAGAUGUGGAGGAACACCAGUGGCGAAGGCGGCUUUCUGGUCUGUAACUGACGCUGAGGCGCGAAAGCGUGGGGAGCAAACAGGAUUAGAUACCCUGGUAGUCCACGCCGUAAACGAUGAGUGCUAAGUGUUAGGGGUUUCCGCCCCUUAGUGCUGCAGCUAACGCAUUAAGCACUCCGCCUGGGGAGUACGGCC
rnacentral:rRNA from 1 species